GGGGGGACGCAGUAGGAUAGGCGAAGCGUACGAUUGGAUUGUACGUCUAAGCAGUGAGAUUGAGUGUUAGGCAAAUCCGGCACUCUUAAGAUUGAGCUGUGAUGGGGAGAGGAAAUUGUUUCCUCGAGUCGUUGAUUUCACACUGCCGAGAAAAGCCUCUAGAUAGAUAAUAGGUGCCCGUACCGCAAACCGACACAGGUAGUCAAGAUGAGAAUUCUAAGGUGAGCGAGCGAACUCUCGUUAAGGAACUCGGCAAAAUGACCCCGUAACUUCGGGAGAAGGGGUGCUCUUUAGGGUGCAAGCCCAGAAGAGCCGCAGUGAAUAGGCCCAAGCGACUGUUUAUCAAAAACACAGGUCUCUGCUAAACCGUAAGGUGAUGUAUAGGGGCUGACGCCUGCCCGGUGCUGGAAGGUUAAGAGGAGUGGUUAGCUUCUGCGAAGCUACGAAUCGAAGCCCCAGUAAACGGCGGCCGUAACUAUAACGGUCCUAAGGUAGCGAAAUUCCUUGUCGGGUAAGUUCCGACCCGCACGAAAGGCGUAACGAUUUGGGCACUGUCUCAACGAGAGACUCGGUGAAAUCAUAGUACCUGUGAAGAUGCAGGUUACCCGCGACAGGACGGAAAGACCCCGUGGAGCUUUACUGUAGCCUGAUAUUGAAAUUCGGCACAGCUUGUACAGGAUAGGUAGGAGCCUUUGAAACGUGAGCGCUAGCUUACGUGGAGGCGCUGGUGGGAUACUACCCUAGCUGUGUUGGCUUUCUAACCCGCACCACUUAUCGUGGUGGGAGACAGUGUCAGGCGGGCAGUUUGACUGGGGCGGUCGCCUCCUAAAAGGUAACGGAGGCGCUCAAAGG
rnacentral:rRNA from 1 species